AUAAACACCGCUUUGCUCAGCUCUCUUUCCCAUUUGCCCCUCUGUGUCUCUCUCUCUCUAUAAAUUUCAUUUUUCAAUCACUAACCAGACUCGAUACACUCGACAGUUUGUUAAAUUGUUGUCACUGUUUUGUCUCUCGAAAACCCUAGAAAUCCUUACUUCUAUUCACCUACUCCCUCGGGCGUAGGGUUUACAAUCCUGAAUCAUAUAUGAGCAAUAUUUCAGUGGGAGUUAAGGCAUAAAUCUGUGUCGACAUGGGUUUCGAUAACGAGUGUAUAUUGAACAUUCAGUCUCUUGCCGGAGAGUACUUCUGUCCCGUGUGUCGCCUGCUUGUUUACCCAAGUGAAGCGCUACAGUCACAGUGCACCCAUCUAUAUUGCAAGCCUUGUUUGACAUACGUUGUGGGAACUACCCGGGCUUGCCCGUAUGAUGGAUACUUGGUGACAGAGGCGGAUUCUAAGCCGCUAAUAGAAUCAAACAAAGCACUGGCAGAAACCAUAGGGAAAAUAGUAGUUCAUUGUCUCUAUCAUAGGAGUGGGUGCACAUGGCAAGGUCCUUUAACUGAGUGCACUUCGCAUUGCUCUGGGUGUGCCUUUGGAAAUUCUCCAGUGGUAUGCAACAGGUGUGGAAUCCAAAUUGUGCAUCGUCAAGUACAGGAGCAUGCACAAAACUGUCCUGGUGUGCAGCCUCAAGCACAGCAAUCACAGGGUGGCCAGGACACUGCAGCCACAGGCUCAGCAGCUUCUGCUGACCAGGGCCAGACUGGUAAUCUAUCUGGACCACCAACUUCACAGGCCCAGACUUCACAAACGACAACUGUCCCACCAACUGGACAUGAAUCUAAUCAACAAACAAGUGCAAAUACUCAGGCUCAGGCUCAGGCUCAGGCUCAGGCUCAGGCUCAGGCUCUAGCUCCGUCUGCUGUGCCAACUCCAGAACAGUGGUAUCAGCAACAAUAUCAACAGUACUACCAGCAGUAUCCUGGAUAUGACCCCUACCAGCAGACUUAUCAAAAUUACUAUCCGUAUCAACAACAGGCCAUCCAGCAAUACCAGCAGCAUCCUCAACACGUGCAAGGGCAGCCUCAGGCCCAACCCCCAUCUCAACCUCAUCCUCAGCCUCAACCCCAGGUGCAGGCUCAGGGCCAGCCCCAACCUCAACCUCAACCUCAACCUCAACCUCAACCUCAACCUCCAGCUCAACCACAGCCUCAAUCUCAACCUCCAGCUCAACCACAGCCUCAAUCUCAACCUCAAUCACAGCCUCAACCGCAUCAGCAUGUCCAAGCUCCGGCUCCUGUCCAAAAUCAGAAUAAAGCUCUAGUCAAUCCACAGCCACAACUCCACCCUGCAGUGCAGCCUAGCACUCAAAUGCAAUUACAGACUCAACCACCUCUGCACGGCCACCUGUACCCCCAGUCUCAGCCAUACCCCCAGUCUCAGCCAUACCCCCAGGCUCAGCCAUACCCUCAGCCCCAGCCCCAGCCCCAGCCCCAGCCCAUUCAGUCUCAUCCACAACAGCACAUGCAGAUGCCUCAGUAUCAACAGCCUCAUUCUCAGAUGCAACAUCCACAGCCACAAAUUCAGUCUCAGCCUCAUUCACAGGUUCACCCCCAGCAACAUUCCCAUUCUCAACCUCAACCACAAGCUCAGCCACCCACACAGAUUCAACAUCAUCCCAAUCCUCUUCCCCAGCCCCACCCUCCUCAGUCCAAUCAGAUGCCAAAUCCAAAUGCCCAGCUUCAGACUCAGCAUCCCUCGACCCUUGCAGUGACGGGCCAUCACUCCUAUCCACAAUCUCAUGGUCUCCCGCAAAUGCAAUCAGGAGGCUCACAACAGCACCUUAUGCAUAUGCAUCCCCAUAGUGGGCCUCUGCCUCAGCAUCCUUCCCAAAUGCAUGGUCAGUUCCCUCAGCAAUCUUCUCAGAUGCGUCCACCCCAAUCUCAUGCUCCAAUUCCUAACCAGCAACAGCCAGUUUUGGUGCCAUCUCAGGGGCAAGUCCCUAGCAUCCCUCCUGCACAACAGCAGUCAGUUCUCCCACACACUCAGCAACCUGGUCAUCCAAUUCAUCACCUUCCUGUUAUGCAGCCAAUUCAACAACCAGCAUCCCAUCAAUAUGUGCAGCAACAUCCUAUUCCAGGACAAACAUCGGGUCCGGUUCAGAGUCAAUUACAUCAGCAGGGUCAUUUUGCACCUCAUCAGCAGCAGCUUAUGCAGUCCCAGUUGCGUCCUCAGAGUCAGCCUCAUCCAGUGCAACAAAAUUCUCAUGCCUAUCAGCAGUCACAGCAAAUUGCACUUGGCAUGCAACCUCACCAAUCUCAAAAUUAUAUGGGAAGACCUAUGAUGCCAAAUCAUGGGGCACAAUUUCAGCAAGCCCCUGGUGGGUUUGUUGGUGCACCUCAAGUUAGGCCGAUGCAGCUUGCUACAAAUCCGCCUUCUGUGAAUCAGACUAAUUCACUUAGGACCAGCAACCAACUGCAAACAAUUUCAGGCGAUCAUAUGUCCAAUAAGAAUGUAGCCGAGCGAGGAGUUGAAUCACCCUCUCAGAAAACUGCCAAAACAGAAGCAAAUGGUUUGGUUCUGACAUCUGGUCUUGGAGCUGAUUCAGUUGAAGGAAGAACUCAUAAAUCUGAAACAGAUGUGAAAUCCAUGAUUGGUGAACAGAAACCCAUGGGUUAUGAUGCGAAUAAUGCUAGUCAGUUUGACACUCUUGGCAAGGCUACAGACUUGGCCUCAUAUACCGCAGAAAAUGGUCCAGGAGAUCCUGCAAUUAAGCCUAUGGUGAAGAAAGAGGGUACUGAUGGUAUGUUGGAGCCUUCACCUGGUGGCAAGUCUACUCAAACUGUAGCUGAGGAGCACAAGGAUGCUGAUGUCCCUAAACAAGUGGAGCAGUCUUUCGUAGAUGAUGCAUCGAUGCAAAAAGCAGAAGCUCUUGAGGAACGUGGGAAGUUGCUGAAAGAUGUAGUGGAUGCAAGUGUACCAGUUUCCACUGGGGCUGAAAAAGGUUCACAAGCUCUUCCUCCGUCAUCUGCUUCUACAUCUGAUAAUUCAAUUCAGAAAGUUGUCCCUCUGGGUAAUUCUCAGACUCCUCUUGUUGGUAGGGAUCCUUCGCAACAUGGUUAUCCGGACCGAAAUUCGAGUCAAUCCGAACAUACACAUCAAGUUCCUGGGGUUGAUGAAUAUAGGGGCUUCCCGCCAAAUGGUCAGGUGCAGGGCAAGGGAUUCAUGCAUCCUUCCCAUCCUGUUCCACUCACCGAUCAAGGAAGGCUUCAGCAACCGCAGAUGCACUAUGGGGCUUCCACUCAUCAACAAAGGCCUGCUGCACCUUCAAUGUUACAGUCAGUGCCUCCGACAGGACCACCUCCAGGACCCCCGUAUCAUGCACAAGUGCCAGGGCAACCACUAAGGCCUCAAGGACCUGGAAUUUUACCUCAGCCAGGACAAACUUUAAAUCCACCUGAGCAUUUGCGGCCACCUUUGAAGCAGCCUUAUGGUUCUUUUCAUCCUGAAGUACCCUUGGAUGGAAUCCCAGGUCCUGGCUCUUUAUUUGGGAGGGGACCUAAUCAUGCUGGCCUUCCUCUGCAAGCUAGUGCUCCUCAAGGACAUUAUAAUCAAGGUCUUGUUCCUACUCAACAUGCUGCGCUCCCUAGGAUUUCCCAAGGUGAACUUCCUGGUGGAGGGGCACCACAAGGUGUGGUUCCUCCGGGCUCAUUUGAUUCAUUUGGUGGGAUAAUGGGAAGAGCACCACCGCAUGGCCCUGAAGGUCAUUUUGGUAAGCAGCAUCCUAUUAAUCCGUUGGAGACUGAAACCUUUCCACAUCAGAAGUCCCGUCCCUUUGAUGGCAGACAACCUGAAUCCCAUCUGCCUGGGACUUUGGGAAUGAGUCCCUUUAGGCCACCCUCUGGUUUAGAAUCAAAUACGUUGAGAAUGGGUGGGGGCCCAGGUCAUGAUUUUUCAUCUGCACGAACAGACGGGCGUUUAAAUCCCUUCCCAUUGGAACCAGGUCGGCACCUUGAUCGAGCACCAGAGCGACAUGACAAGGCAACUGUUGGUAUCAAUUCUGAUGCUGGAUUGAAGUUGGAUCCCAGUGCUGGUGGUGCUCCUACAAGGUUCUUACCUCCUUAUCAUCCCGCUGGUACAUUUCACUCGGGUGAUACUCUAGAAAGAACACACCCGGUUGGUCCUGAUGAUAACAUUGGGAGAGCAGAUAUCUCUCGUACUCAUCCAGAUUUUCGUGGACCUGGAUUUGGUCGGCAUCAUAUGGACCGUUUAACUCCUAGAAGUCCGGGUAGAGAGUAUCCUGGCAUUUCAGCUCCGGGAUUUGGAGGUCUUUCUGGCAUGUCAACUAACAAGUCAGGCCUGGAUGAUAUUGAUGGCAGGGAACCACGCGCAUUUGGCGAAGGAUCCAGAUCCUUCAAUUUACCUUCAGAUCGAGCUGGCAAUUCAUUUCAUGAGAGUCGGUUUCCUAUUUUACCCAGCCACUUGCGAAGAGGUGAGUUUGAUGGUCCAAUUGGUUCGCGCGGUGGUGACUUGAUUGGGCGAGAUAUUCUGCCUGGCCAUUCACGGAGGGGUGAAUUUAUGGGUCCCCGGAACUUACCAGCUCAUUUGCAUUUGGGAGAGCCUGGUGAGUUUGGUGUUUUUCCUGAUCCUGCACGUAUGGGGGACCUUGCUCAUCAUCUACCCCUUGGUGAAUCACUUCGCGGCAACAAGUCAAGUCAUCCACGUCUUGGUGAACCUGGAUUUAGAAGCAGUUAUUCCCUGCAAGGAUUUCCAAAUGAUGGUGGAUUUUACACAGGUGGCAUAAAUUCCUUCGACAACUCAAGAAAGAGGAAGCCAAUGAGCAUGGGAUGGUGCCGCAUUUGUAAAUUUGAUUGUGAAACGGUGGAAGGUCUAGACAUGCAUUCACAAACAAGGGAACACCAGAAGAUGGCUAUGGAUAUGGUACUAAGCAUAAAGCAGCAGAAUGCAAAGAAACAGAGAACGUCCAAUGAUCAUUCUUCAUUUGAAGAGGCAAGCAAGUCUAGAAGUGCUGGUUAUGAGGGUCGUGGGAAAAGGCCUUAAGUCUUGGUAGUUAUGCUGGAAAAUGAGCUGAAGUGAUCAAUUACCGACAUGGGCUCACAGUAGUCUUCAGUUUUUUAAGAGUUAGUAAUGUAGGUGAUUCACCCUUCUCUAUCUCUUCUAUGCUUUCUGGGUGGUUUAUGCUAGUUUUGUCAUUUCAGGUUGCUGCCCUGUUUUUGGAGAUGGUUUUUUUGGAACUGAAGUUUCAGUGGCAAUCUUUUCCAUUCAACCUGUCUUUUUUCGGCGAAGCAGACAACCAAAUGGCUGAAAGUUCAGCAGAAAGUUUAACUCAAACUUUUAUGUGCAUCCUAUCUGAUGAUAGAAAAGGAUCCCCUGAUCUUGAACUGGUCUUACCUCGGAUUGCAACUCCCGUGUUUUUCUAUGAAGAGCAGAUCCAAGGUGUGUGAAGGUUACAAUUUUUUAUUUUUAAGUAGAGCAGUAGAGAUUUUAUUCAACUUUUAUGGAUCUAGGCAUGAUAAUCCUUUUGUGAAACACAUCGUAAUGAAUUAGAGAACAUUGAGCCAUCUCCUUGUCUGUCAACAAUAAAUAUGGCAGACUAGCUUAUUAAUUUUUUUAAAGAGCUCAAUGCAAAUAAAUAAAAAAUGAAUAAUAAUAAUAAUAAAAUACAAAUCUAUAUCGGGUCUUUGAAGCAGUUUGUAUCGCUUUGAUUGUAGUCAGUUUUAAGCUUCAUUUUUCUAAAACAUCUCUCUUAUUUUUAGUGUCACGAGUUAGAAAUCUCUGUUUCUAUUUUACAUUUGUGCUGUUAGAGAUAAAAAUAAAAAAACAAAUGUUUGAGUCAAUCUACAAGUUUUAGUGUACUAAGAUUGCAUCUCUUUAUAAGAGGUAAGGUGUGUCGGUUACUAUAUUAGUACUUUUGAACUUCAUUUUUAUCGUGAUUCUAAUUGUGAAAAUUCAAUGGCAGAAUGCAAUAUAAAUAUAUAUUUAAGUACAUUAGCCAUGCCUACUAGAAAUCAUGUUCCUAGGAAUUAAUAUUGUUGGUUACUUCUUAUUAUGUGUAGGGUUUCUCUUUCAACAGCAUUAGUUUUGCUCACUUCUACAUCUUGGUUAAUACUUGGAAUCUAGUGAUUUUUGGCCCAUGUUGUUCGUUUGUCUUUCUUUGCAGCUAGCCUUCUAUGCCUUUUGUGUGGUUUAUUUGGAAGGAGCAAAAUAGAACCCUUUGGUGCUAGAGGAAGUCUAAUUUCUAUAAAAUUAUACUUAAAUAUACCUCUUUUAACAUAUAUGAUCAAUGACUUGAUAAAAUUUUAUAUCAAUUUUGGCUUUUCUGUUUAGGUUGUGGUACAUCUCCCCUUGGCUCUUGUAGCACUUGAAGUACAUGUCACUUAAAAUGGGAAAACAUUUUGAGUGUGGGCGACUUAUCACUAAACACUAAAUACUUAAUUUUUUACAAAGAGUUUCAAAUAAAUUCUCAAAUUAUAAAUAGCACUUGAAAUUCAGCUUAGCUUAGGUUGUAAAAAUAUUUUUUUAAGCUAAGGGCACAUGCAGCAAUGUCAACUAUAAUUUGGAUCUAUGCUUAGAAACUUCUAAAACGUUGGGGGGUAUAAAAUUUGUUGUGUUUUCACUUGGGUUUGGCAACUCAAAUUUAGCACUAGAUACAACUUAAAAUGAUUUAUUCCCAUAGGCGACUUCAUUUGAAAUUGAACACCGAACUAUUAAAAUUCAAACAAGUAUCAACAAGAUUGUGUCUAAUGCUCUUCUAAACCAAGCUGUCUGUUUGUUUUUUCAUGCACUUCCAUUAGUUAUUAAGUUCGACAACUCAUGGUGCACUUACUUCCGUAUUCCAACUAAAACAUUACAUCCAACAAUUCAUGGUACCUUUUUCAGAAGUAUGUUUUCACCAUUUUUUAUUAUUAUUGACUCCCUUCUAUCUCAUCUUCCUCUUCAUCAGAUAACCUUCGAUAAACAAUCUGGCUUAUUUGUUGUAAUUCACCUAAGAGCAUUUGUGAUUAUGGCGUCUUUAUAAAUAAAUGCUUUUGUACAAUCGCUCAUGUAUUAUCCUGAUUGUCUUCUUUUUGACACUAAAUAUGAGUACAUAGAACCUUAUUGAUAUAGAUCUGUAUAGUUUGUUUUGAAUUCCCUACUGAAUGAUAUGUAUAGAUCUGUACACUUGGCGAACGUACCUGAUAAUUCAAUGCUAGUACAUAGAACUCUCUGAUUUGGUUACAUCUUUAAUUUAUUUCUUUAACACAAGUGACCUUACAGAAAGAGUAUUAUAAAUAUGAAAUUUAGUUUUGUCUCUGUGUUCUUGAAUUUAGGGAUUUUGGCAAAUCUGGCACUUUAAAACAUACAAAUAAGAGCCUGGAUUGGUGAUGGAUGAGUUUAGUAUGAAUUUAAAUGGAAGCAGAAAGUGUAAAAUUGGAUUUUAAGAAUGGAAGAGAUAGUUGUGGUUGACUGGCAAAAAAAUUAUAGCGUUGCUUUGUUAUCAAGGUACAAUUCUAGUCCAGGUUGACUUGCCUAUUCACCUGGGCCUUUCUUUCUCGACUGAUUUUAGAAGUCCCAUAAUUCCCCAUUACCAAUCUGUUAUUAGAAGAUCCACUUGUUGAACUGUUUGGUUCCUUAUAGUGUGUUUGGAUCGGUGGAGUUAAAUAAAAAGUACAGGAGAAGGGGGUAGCGUAUAUUGUGUUUGGUUUAAAUAGGAGAAAAAUAGGCAAGAAAUUGGAGUGUUAAGGGAUUUGUUGACCUCUAAAAUAGCGGCCGUUGCUCUGGGCAUAUCAAUUCCUUGCCAUCUCUCAAAAUUGGGUGGAUUUUAGCUGUUAUUUUUUAUUUAUAACAAGUCAAUUCCAAUUUUGUCAUUUUCACUCAAACUUUUCUUUAUUCCUCCCCACUGUCAUUUCAGAACAUAAUGGAAGUAUUUUCUUUCCUUUCCCUCCCUAAAAGACUAAUAUUAUCCUUUCCUUUCUCUCCUCCUACUUAUUCAAAUGGAUUAUUAAAAGGAGAACAGGGGAGAAUGUAGUUGAAAUAAGAGAAUUGGAGCGAUAAGAGAACUGAAGAAGAAAAAACUUCAAAAAUUUCAUCCAUUUAGUAUCUGAGGUGGAUGUCUUCCAUGUAGAUAGAUGCAUGUGGCUUCAUAUGGGAUUGCUUGUGCCAUUUUCAAAGUGCUUGUGUUGUUGGGAUGAAAUAUUAUACUUCUUUUGAUUCCCUCCAAAUCACCUGUAAUCGUUGAGUAUAUGUGGGAGCUUUAUAGUCAGUCAUAAGUAUUAAUUACUCAGCCUCGGCUAUGUAAACAUGGGUGCGUUAUUGUUCAUUGGGUCAGAUAGAGCAAAUAUUUAGAUGUUUGAAUGCUGCAAAGGAUGAUUCUAAUGAUAUGUCUAUUUGCAUCUUAAAUUAAAAUUGAGACUUUUUGUCACAGCUGAAACACUUUAGAGUCUCUCCCUUUUUAAAGCUUUAAUAAUUGACUCUUAUGUGCAAUCACUUUCGUUUUUGAGAGAAUUUUAAGUAGUGUCACACCAUUGAUAUCUCUAUGUAUAGCUUCUUGUUGAAUGUAAAUUUGUGAGGCACUUCGGAUCAUACGUGCAAACUACCAUAAUUUUGGUUUGCUCUACUCAUCUCUAUGUAUAAAGCUUAUUAUAUAUGUAAAAAAAAACUGAGAAUAGUUGCACGAAAAGUUUAUAAUGAGGUAGUUAAGAUUUGUCUGUUCAUUAUGCACAUUGGAUGUCAAAUAAAAACUCAUUGGAGGCAAAUGCUUUUACGAUUGUUUAGAGAACUAUAAUAACUACUUGGGGAUAAAAUAGCAAUGGUAUUUAAGUUUCAUAACAUUGUUGAAGUUUGGUUUCAAUACGUCAAGUUGGAAUUUUUGACUAUGUUUACAGCUGUUUUUACUAGAAUCGAAUUCAGUGAAAUUUGUGAUUUUUUCAUUGCUGUAUGAUUGGGAUUUUUAUCUGCUUCGUGAGGAGGUGCUAAGACAUGUUGGAAAUCUAUAUGUUUAAUCAAAACUUUUACUUCAUGUUUUUUUGAAAGAAAUGUAGGUUCAAAUGAUAUGCUGGAGGUUAGAAGGUUUCUAUUAGUAGACUUUCAUGUAUGUUUGGAUUAAGCUCUCCCCUUAGGCUAGAUGAGGCGGUCAUAUUGGCUUUUUGUUUAUUUACAUUACCUUUUCGACUUUUUAAUAUUUGUUUAUUUUUGUGGGCUAAAGGAAUUAAAGUUAUGCUUACAUAGGUAGUAAACUUGCUUAAUUUUCUUAGUUGUCAAACCUAUUAGAAGUAAAUGUGGAUGGAGACCAUCGAAUGUUGAGUGCUUGUGUAGAUGGCAAGUUUGAGACAUUGUCUUUCUAAACCUUAUUGGGAAUGCUAUGUUUUUAUGAAUGCUCUAAUUUUCCUUGAAGUUUCUUGUUGUGUCUGCAAGGGAAUGCCAUAUCAUAAGAUCUCCAUUCCAAAGUUACACUUGUGGGAUCAUUUACCGCGUCUUUGAUUACGGGAACAUAUCCCCUCCUGUUCAUCGGAUUGGAAAAUUGCUUGAGAGUCUGAUGCUACUUUUUGUUUAUAGAAGAGGGUCCUCGCCUGGUUUUAUAGGUUCUGUCUUCAUCAUUAGUCUUCAUGUUAUGCUGCUAGCUUGCACUUGGGUGCUUUUUCGUUUUUUUUUUUUUUUGUAAUAUAUAUAUAUAUAUAUAUAUAUAUAUAUAUAUAUAUAUAUAUAUAUAUAGUGUGUUUG